rnacentral:rRNA from 1 species
UACGUAGGGGGCAAGCGUUGUCCGGAUUCAUUGGGCGUAAAGAGCGUGUAGGCGGCCAGGUAGGUCGGUUGUGAAAACUGGAGGCUCAACCUUCAGAGGUCGACCGAAACCAUCUGGCUAGAGUCCGGGAGAGGAGAGUGGAAUUCCUGGUGUAGCGGUGAAAUGCGCAGAUAUCUGGAGGAACACCGGUGGCGAAGGCGGCUUUCUGGACAAAUACCGACGCUGAGGCACGAAAGCUAGGGGAGCAAACAGG